GCCAGGCAUGGUGGUGCAUGCCUGUAAUCCCAGCUAUUUGGGAGGUUGAGGCAGAAGAAUUGCUUGAACCCGGGAGGCAGAGGUUGCAGUGAGCCGAGAUCGCGCCACUGCACUCCAGCCUGGGUGACAGAGCAAGACUCCGUCUCAA
rnacentral:SRP_RNA from 2 species